rnacentral:rRNA from 1 species
CCUACGGGAGGCAGCAGUGAGGAAUAUUGGUCAUUGGUCGGGAGACUGAACCAGCCAAGCCGCGUGAGGGAUGAAGGUACAGAGUAUCGUAAACCUCUUUUGUCAGGGAACAAAGGCGGGGACGUGUCCCCGGAUGAGUGUACCUGAAGCAAAAGCAUCGGCUAACUCCGUGCCAGCAGCCGCGGUAAUACGGAGGAUGCGAGCGUUAUCCGGGUUUAUUGGGUUUAGAGGGUGCGCAGGCGGUCUGUUAAGUCAGCGGUCAAAGCCCGGGGCUCAACCCGGGCCCGCCGUUGAACCUGGCAGUCUAGAGUUGGAGAGAAGUAUGCGGAAUGCGCGGUGUAGCGGUGAAAUGCAGAGAUAUCGCGCAGAACUCCGAUUGCGAAGGCAGCAUGCCGGCUCCACACUGACGCUGAGGCACGAAAGCGUGGGUAUCGAACAGGAUUAGAUACCCGGGUAGUC